ensembl:snRNA U1 U1 spliceosomal RNA
AUACUUACCUGACAGGAGAGAUACCAUGAUCAUGAAGGUGGUUUUCCCAGGGCAAGGUUUACCCAUUGCACUCUGAAUGUGCUGACCCCUGCAAUUUCCCCAAAUGUGGAAAACUUAACUAUAAUUUGUGGUACUGGGGGACUAUGUUCACACUCUCCUCUG